AGCAGUCGCCGCGGUAAUACGUAGGUGGCAAGCGUUGUCCGGAAUUAUUGGGCGUAAAGGGCUCGCAGGCGGUUUCUUAAGUCUGAUGUGAAAGCCCCCGGCUCAACCGGGGAGGGUCAUUGGAAACUGGGAAACUUGAGUGCAGAAGAGGAGAGUGGAAUUCCACGUGUAGCGGUGAAAUGCGUAGAGAUGUGGAGGAACACCAGUGGCGAAGGCGACUCUCUGGUCUGUAACUGACGCUGAGGAGCGAAAGCGUGGGGAGCGAACAGGAUUAGAUACCCGUGUAGUCCCUGUCUCUUAUAC
rnacentral:rRNA from 1 species